rnacentral:ncRNA from 1 species
ACCACCCGUUUCGGGGACCUUGGUACAGGCAGGCCGGGGAUUCCCCUCUUUACACCGGGCUCACAGCGCAAAGCAGCGAGCUUACCCUUUUGGGAUCCUUGGUACAGGCAGGCCGGGGGUUCCCUCUUUACACCGGGCUGACGCUGCAAGCGAAGCCCAUGCUUUUGGGAACCCUGAUACAGGCAGGUCAGGGAUUCCCGCUUUUACACCACAAUG